rnacentral:rRNA from 1 species
UACGUAGGGGGCGAGCGUUGUCCGGAAUCAUUGGGCGUAAAGCGCGUGUAGGCGGCCCGGUAAGUCCGCUGUGAAAGUCCAGGGCUCAACCCUGGGAUGCCGGUGGAUACUGUCGGGCUCGAGUCCGGAAGAGGCGAGUGGAAUUCCUGGUGUAGCGGUGAAAUGCGCAGAUAUCAGGAGGAACACCAAUGGCGAAAGGCAGCUCGCUGGGACGUGACUGACGCUGAGACGCGAAAGCGUGGGGAGCAAACAGG